GAUGAACGCUGGCGGCGUGCCUAAUACAUGCAAGUCGAGCGAACGGACGAGAAGCUUGCUUCUCUGAUGUUAGCGGCGGACGGGUGAGUAACACGUGGAUAACCUACCUAUAAGACUGGGAUAACUUCGGGAAACCGGAGCUAAUACCGGAUAAUAUUUUGAACCGCAUGGUUCAAAAGUGAAAGACGGUCUUGCUGUCACUUAUAGAUGGAUCCGCGCUGCAUUAGCUAGUUGGUAAGGUAACGGCUUACCAAGGCAACGAUGCAUAGCCGACCUGAGAGGGUGAUCGGCCACACUGGAACUGAGACACGGUCCAGACUCCUACGGGAGGCAGCAGUAGGGAAUCUUCCGCAAUGGGCGAAAGCCUGACGGAGCAACGCCGCGUGAGUGAUGAAGGUCUUCGGAUCGUAAAACUCUGUUAUUAGGGAAGAACAUAUGUGUAAGUAACUGUGCACAUCUUGACGGUACCUAAUCAGAAAGCCACGGCUAACUACGUGCCAGCAGCCGCGGUAAUACGUAGGUGGCAAGCGUUAUCCGGAAUUAUUGGGCGUAAAGCGCGCGUAGGCGGUUUUUUAGUCUGAUGUGAAAGCCCACGGCUCAACCGUGGAGGGUCAUUGGAAACUGGAAAACUUGAGUGCAGAAGAGGAAAGUGGAAUUCCAUGUGUAGCGGUGAAAUGCGCAGAGAUAUGGAGGAACACCAGUGGCGAAGGCGACUUUCUGGUCUGUAACUGACGCUGAUGUGCGAAAGCGUGGGGAUCAAACAGGAUUAGAUACCCUGGUAGUCCACGCCAUAAACGAUGAGUGCUAAGUGUUAGGGGGUUUCCGCCCCUUAGUGCUGCAGCUAACGCAUUAAGCACUCCGCCUGGGGAGUACGACCGCAAGGUUGAAACUCAAAGGAAUUGACGGGGACCCGCACAAGCGGUGGAGCAUGUGGUUUAAUUCGAAGCAACGCGAAGAACCUUACCAAAUCUUGACAUCCCUUGACAACUCUAGAGAUAGAGCUUUCCCCUUCGGGGGACAAAGUGACAGGUGGUGCAUGGUUGUCGUCAGCUCGUGUCGUGAGAUGUUGGGUUAAGUCCCGCAACGAGCGCAACCCUUAAGCUUAGUUGCCAUCAUUAAGUUGGGCACUCUAAGUUGACUGCCGGUGACAAACCGGAGGAAGGUGGGGAUGACGUCAAAUCAUCAUGCCCCUUAUGAUUUGGGCUACACACGUGCUACAAUGGACAAUACAAAGGGCAGCGAAACCGUGAGGUCAAGCAAAUCCCAUAAAGUUGUUCUCAGUUCGGAUUGUAGUCUGCAACUCGACUACAUGAAGCUGGAAUCGCUAGUAAUCGUAGAUCAGCAUGCUACGGUGAAUACGUUCCCGGGUCU
rnacentral:rRNA from 1 species